GCAUCUCAUUGCAGAAAGAAAAACAAAAAGGAGGAGGAAGGAGGAAGGAGGAGAGGAGAAGCCAUCCACGAUGAGAAAUUCAACUUUAUUGAUUGAAUAUUUCUUAAAGACAAAAAGGAAGAAAAAAUUACGGUAAAAGAAAGAUACAAGGUCGGAGGUCUCAGACCUCUGAAGCAAGAGUUGGGGAGCUCGGUGUCCCUGGAAGGGGGGCAGCAGCAGCAGUAGCAACAGGAGAGGGACCGGCCUCAUCUUCAGACUCCUCGCCCAAGAAGCUG
rnacentral:lncRNA from 1 species